ACGCUGGUAGGUUAACUAGGGACAUGAGGUAUAGAUAUAGACACGCUGGUGGGUUAACCAGGUUAACCAGGGACAUGAGGUAUAGAUAUAGACACGCUGGUGGGUUAACUAGGGACAUGAGGUAUAGAUAUAGACACGCUGGUGGGUUAACCAGGUUAACUAGGGACAUGAGGUAUAGAUAUAGACACGCUGGUGAGUUAACCAGGUUAACUAGGGACAUGAGGUAUAGGUAUAGACACGCUGGUGGGUUAACCAGGUUAACUAGGGACAUGAGGUAUAGGUAUAGACACGCUGGUGGGUUAACCAGGUUAACUAGGGACAUGAGGUAUAGAUAUAGACACGCUGGUGGGUUAACCAGGUUAACUAGGGACAUGAGGUAUAGGUAUAGACACGCUGGUGGGUUAACCAGGUUAACUAGGGACAUGAGGUAUAGGUAUAGACACGCUGGUGGGUUAACCAGGUUAACUAGGGACAUGAGGUAUAGAUAUAGACACGCUGGUGGGUUAACCAGGUUAACUAGGGACAUGAGGUAUAGGUAUAGACACGCUGGUGGGUUAACCAGGUUAACUAGGGACAUGAGGUAUAGAUAUAGACACGCUGGUGGGUUAACCAGGUUAACUAGGGACAUGAGGUAUAGGUAUAGACACGCUGGUGGGUUAACCAGGUUAACUAGGGACAUGAGGUAUAGAUAUAGACACGCUGGUGGGUUAACCAGGUUAACUAGGGACAUGAGGUAUAGGUAUAGACACGCUGGUGGGUUAACCAGGUUAACCAGGGACAUGAGUUAUAGAUAUACAUGUAGACAAGCUCACACACCAGCUGCUCUAAAGGGCCCACUCCUCAUGGGUUCAUAGUUUGACCUUUGACCUUUGUUUCGUCCUCAAUAAGACACAGCAUCCAGGUCCUGGUCUGAACCCAUGGAUACUAUUGGCUGCUGGGUUGGGUCCUGGUCUGAACCCACGGAUACUAUUGGCUGCUGGGUUGGGUCCUGGUCUGAACCCACGGAUACUAGUGGCUGCUGGGUUGGGUCCUGGUCUGAACCCACGGAUACUAGUGGCUGCUGGGUUGGGUCCUGGUCUGAACCCACGGAUUGUGAUGUCGUUAUGGGCUAUUGUGAUGUCGUUAUGGGCUAUUGUGAUGUCGUUA